GGGGUAUUAGUUUAAGAAGAACGUGCGGCUGUUAACUGCUUAGUGUGAGGGUUCACAUGCCUCG
rnacentral:tRNA from 2 species